UGGCGACCGGCGCACGGGUGAGUAACACGUAUCCAACCUGCCGAUGACACGGGGAUAGCCUUUCGAAAGAAAGAUUAAUACCCGAUGGCAUAGUUCUUCCGCAUGGUAGAACUAUUAAAGAAUUUCGGUCAUCGAUGGGGAUGCGUUCCAUUAGGCAGUUGGUGGGGUAAUGGCCCACCAAACCUUCGAUGGAUAGGGGUUCUGAGAGGAAGGUCCCCCACAUUGGAACUGAGACACGGUCCAAACUCCUACGGGAGGCAGCAUG
rnacentral:rRNA from 1 species